GAUGAAGAACGCAGCGAAAUGCGAUAAGUAAUGCGAAUUGCAGAAUUCAGUGAGUCAUCGAAUCUUUGAACGCACAUUGCGCCCUGUGGUAUUCCGCAGGGCAUGCCUGUUCGAGCGUCAUUUCAACCCUCAAGCUCUGCUUGGUGUUGGGCCCUGCCCGCUGCGGCCGGCCCUAAAGACGGUGGCGGUGCCGCCUGGCCCUGAGCGUAGUACAUCUCUCGCUCCAGUGCCCGGUGGUAGCCUGCCAGAACCCCAACUCUCGUGGUUGACCUCGGAUCAGGUAGGGAUACCCGCUGAACUUAAGCAUAUCAAUAAGCGGAGGA
rnacentral:misc_RNA from 1 species